rnacentral:rRNA from 1 species
UCCGUAGGUGAACCUGCGGAGGGAUCAUUACUGAGUGUGGGCUCCGGCCCUACCUCCAACCCCAUGUCGAAACGACUCUGUUGCCUCGGGGGCGACCCGGCCUUCGGGCGUCGGGGCCCCCGGUGGACACCUUCAUAACUCUUGCAUCUCUUGCGUCUGAGUGAUACAUAUAAUCAAUCAAAACUUUCAACAACGGAUCUCUUGGUUCUGGCAUCGAUGAAGAACGCAGCGAAAUGCGAUAAGUAAUGUGAAUUGCAGAAUUCAGUGAAUCAUCGAAUCUUUGAACGCACAUUGCGCCCCCUGGCAUUCCGGGGGGCAUGCCUGUUCGAGCGUCAUUACACCACUCAAGCCUGGCUUGGUAUUGAGCGCCGCGGCCUGCCCGCGCGCUCCAAUGUCUCCGGCUGAGCCGUCCGUCUCUAAGCGUUGUGAAUAGCGAUCGCUUGCGAGGCCCGGGCGGUUCGACGCCGUUAAACCCCCCAUUUUCUAUGGUUGACCUCGGAUCAGGUAGGGAUACCCGCUGAACUUAAGCAUAUCAAUAAGCGGAGGA